rnacentral:rRNA from 1 species
AGAGUUUGAUCAUGGCUCAGGACGAACGCUGGCGGCGUGCCUAACACAUGCAAGUCGAACGAGGUCCAUCCGGUGGCAACACCGGUGAAGACCUAGUGGCGAACGGGUGAGUAACACGUGAGGAACCUGCCCCGAAGACCGGGAUAACCCUCCGAAAGGAGAGCUAAUACCGGAUGUCCCCACCGGACCGCAUGGUCUGGUGAGGAAAUGGAUUCCGCUUCGGGAGGGCCUCGCGGCCUAUCAGCUUGUUGGCGGGGUAACGGCCCACCAAGGCUUCGACGGGUAGCUGGUCUGAGAGGACGAUCAGCCACACUGGGACUGAGACACGGCCCAGACUCCUACGGGAGGCAGCAGUGGGGAAUCUUGCGCAAUGGGCGAAAGCCUGACGCAGCAACGCCGCGUGGGGGAUGAAGGCUCUCGGGUUGUAAACCCCUUUCAGCAGGGACGAAUCUGACGGUACCUGCAGAAGAAGCCCCGGCCAACUACGUGCCAGCAGCCGCGGUAACACGUAGGGGGCAAGCGUUGUCCGGAUUUAUUGGGCGUAAAGAGCUCGUAGGUGGUUCGGUAAGUCGGGUGUAAAACCUCCAGGCUCAACCUGGAGACGCCACCCGAUACUGCUGUGACUGGAGUCCGGUAGGGGAGCGUGGAAUUCCUGGUGUAGCGGUGAAAUGCGCAGAUAUCAGGAGGAACACCAGCGGCGAAGGCGGCGCUCUGGGCCGGUACUGACACUGAGGAGCGAAAGCGUGGGUAGCAAACAGGAUUAGAUACCCUAGUAGUCC